CGCCUCUUGCCUCCCAAGUAUAAGAGGUCCCGCCUGCCCAGUGAUUAAUUUUAACGGCCGCGGUAUCAUGACCGUGCAAAGGUAGCGUAAUCACUUGUCUCUUAAAUAGAGACCUGUAUGAAAGGCAAAACGAAAGCUCAACUGUCUCUUUAAUUUAAUCAGUGAAAUUAAUCUCUCCGUGCAGAAGCGAAGAUAAUUAUAUAAGACGAGAAGACCCUAUGGAGCUUUAAAUGUAAAAUUAAUUAUAUAUUUACACCAGCCAACAGGUAUAAAAUAAAAACAUAUGAUUAUAAUUUAAAUUUUCGGUUGGGGCGACCACGGAAGAAAAAAUAUCCUCCGAGAUAAGUAAUUUAGAAUUACAUUUCAAAAAUUAAAACAUUUAUUAUAAAUGAUCCACCAAGUGACCAACGAACCAAGUUACCCUAGGGAUAACAGCGCAAUCUUUUCUAAGAGUUCAUAUCGACGAAUGGGUUUACGACCUCGAUGUUGGAUCAGGACACCCCAAUGGUGCAGCAGCUAUUAAAGGUUCGUUUGUUCAACGAUUAAAGUCCU
rnacentral:rRNA from 1 species